AGGAAACCCUCGAACCUUUUCUCGCUGCUCUCGCCGACGAAGAUCGAGAGGUACAAUAGUAAGCAUCGAGAUCGUGAAGAACUAGAAUCGAGCAAUGUAUAAUAAUGUUGGUGAUCCAGCCGGGAUGCAGAGACCCCCAAUGAAUCCCCCAGUAAAUCCAUUUGGUGAUGCGUUCUAUGGAGCAGGAUCUGGACUCAUCCGAGGUGGGCUCGGGGCAUAUGGAGAGCGAUUUCUGGGCACAAGCUCUGAGUUUAUGCAAAGCAAUAUUAGCAGAUAUUUCUCCAACCCACAGUACUAUUUUCAAGUUAACGACCAGUAUGUGAGGAACAAGUUA
rnacentral:misc_RNA from 1 species